AAUUAAAGGAAAGAAAACAUAAUAGACAAAAAAAAAUGAAGCAAAAGGUGGUCAUCCUAGUUUUUUUUUUUAUAUAUUUGAUUUGGU
rnacentral:ribozyme from 12 species